AUUACAAAAUUCUUAUAAACAUUUCCAUUGUCAUGCCUCCAUUAAACUUGCAGCAACGCCAUCUCUGAAGAUUAUUUUAUCUUGAGUUAUGUUAUCGACUGUAUCAUAACUUUUUGUGGGAGAUGCAAUAUAGCUUAUAUGUUCACUAUUAUUAUGAUUUAGCUUAUCCAUUGUUUCAUCAAAAUGAUCAUGAUUUUGUGAAUAUCCUUUGAUGUAAUUAUGUAAGGCCAUGGUAGUAAUAACUAUCUUCACCUGCUUCUUUAAUGUAUGGCUUGGCAUAUUUUGUAAAAUCUUCCUUAUUUGUUUUAAACCCCAAAAGAACUUGUUAGAAUGAACAAUACUCUCAACAUUAAGAGAUUCAAAUGCCUCAUUACUCUUUAAAGGAAAACUAGAUGAGGGAAACCAAACAAGGUCACUUGUAGCCACUGCAUUUGAAUAGUUAAUUUAGUUUUUUCUCCAACUAUGAAUCAAUACCAUUUUUUUGAAUUCUAUUGAAUUGCAAAUUUUCAUUUAUUUUCUUUUCCUACCGGUCCUCACUUGCAUCAACUAUACUUAACUAUGAUUCCACCUUAAAUAUGUUUCCUAGUCAAUCAUAUUCUUCCACAAUUUCCAAUUAGUUCUAAGAGAAUCCUAUUUGUUUUUCAUUUGAGUUCUAUUAUAAUCCAAUCCAAUUUCUUCAGUGAAUUCCUUAAUGAAAUAUUUAUAUGCUUGGAAAGUAGCCUUACUAGCUGAGCUACUAGACCUAAUUUCGUACACUUACACCUAGAAUAAAGAAUAAUAUUUCUUUGUCAAACAACAAUACCGGAAAGAGAUUAAUUAAGAGCAAUACCCAAUUUUUUUAAAAACAAAUAACACUAAUUAAGGAUGAAUUAUGUGUAGCAGCAAUGAACUAUGUCUAACGUUACACACCUGUAACACCCCAGCCCAACUUUGAGGACAAAUCUAACCACAACUCACCUAUGUACUUAAAUAUCUCUUUACAAUCAACAACAAUUCAAGUCUUAAAUACAAUAUUUAAAUAGCAGGAGACUUUAAAGAUUUUGCACAAUCAUCUACCAUCCUCAAUUUAAGUCUUCUCCUCACUCAUCACGAAUAAAUCUUGACUUCUGAAAACUGAAUCACAAUAAACUAUAAUGAGUACAAAACUCAAUAAGUAAACUGGUUUUUCAUAUACCAAAAUAGAUACAUACUUAUAUACAAUGUAAAUAGAUAAUAUGCCAUGAUAUUUUCAAAACACUAUAAAAUAAAUUCAUCAAAAUCUCUUUCUGUUGCUUUCAAACUUUCACAUUUUCUUUCAAUAAAAUACAUAUCAUGCAUAAGGCAUUUUGCGCAAUACUUGGCACUUUGCACUAUGCGUUGCACUUCACGACACUCUGACCCUCGAGAGGUGGCCCCUACAUAGUCUCAAAAGGUGGCCCCCACACGGCUUCAAGAGGUGGCCCCCAAUGCAAACUCUCAUAAAACUAAGUAUAAUAGCAAAAUUCAUGUACAAAUCAUAAAAUUAUAAAAUGCAAUAUUAUUAAACAUACUUUUUAUAAAAGCUUUGCAUGUUCAUGCUUAUGCCAAUGAACUUUCAUGCACACAUAUGCCCAUGCAUAUAAUCAUGUUCAACACAUAACAACACAUCACAUAAACACAUGGGUAGAAACAUAUAAAUCAUAUAUGUGCAUAUAAAAAAUAGGUUUUUCAAACAUGUCAAACAUAUACAUAUUAAUUUAUUGUGAUCCAUUUAGAAGUUUAGUUUACUUACCUCUUGGCAUCCACAUGUAACAAAUGCGUAUUGAUAUCAUCAACCUAAAAAUCAUUUAUAAACUCUCAUUAGAUAUAAUCAAGUCCUAAUCAUAAUUCUAAUGUCCUCAAAUUUCUCAUUUUAAACAUAUCCUAAACUCAACCUCAAAUACUCUCAAUAUUCGAUCCCAAAACAGAACAACCCAUGUUCUCUGAUUUUUGAUAAUUUAUUAUCUUAUUGGAAAAGUCCCAAAUUUUCAAGAGUAUAUGCUAACAUACUAGAAAUUCAUUGAUUAAAAUUUCAUAACUUAAUUCUUUCAAAAACUAUUGAAAAUAAUUUACGUUUCAGAUAUCAUUAAUUCUGUCAAACAACUUUCUAUUUUAAACAUACUUGUUUUAAAAAUACAAAACAAUUUAUUGUUUUAUCAUAAAAUCAUGAAAAUUUCCAAAAUCACACUAGACAAAUAUAAAAGUUGCUAAUCCAAGUUUCAUAAUUUUGGAAGAAAUCUAGCUAUGGUAAGAUAAAUUCGUAAUUCAUGUUCUUCAUUGAAAUUAGAAAUUUCCAUGUUUUCAAACUUGAGUUUAAAAAUUGUAAUUAAUUGAAAUCUUAUCCGGUUAGCUUGAAACAAGUUCCAAACAUUCUUCUAGUUUAAGAUAUUCAAAAUCUAGAAUCAAAAUCAAUUUGUACAAAUGGCUAUGAUUUUCGAAAUAACACUCUGUCAGCAUAUUUUCUGUGAAAUCUUAAGUUCUACUUCUAUUACUACUAUCUAACCAUGCUUCUCUAUAACAAUUAACACACUCUCAGCAUAGUUUCUGUGAAAUUUACCUCCAAUUCUCUCUCGACAUAAUAUCCAAUUCAAAAGCCACUACUUUGAUCUCAUGUGUCGCUCAUGGCUAACAAAGAAGAAGACUUUCUUUUUCUUCUUCUCUUCUUCUUUUUCAUGUGUUCUUUUUUUUUUUAACUCGCUCUCUCUCUCUCUCUCUCUCUCUCACAUUAAUAGCAAAGGAAGGCAUCUAUUGGGGUAUUACGCGUUUACCCCUUAAAAGAAUUUCGUCCUCGAAAUUCGCUUUUAGUUAUGCUCAAAAGAAUCUAAACCUCAAAAUCACUUAUGACCAAUAAAUCCUUAUAAAGACUAAAAAGAAACAUAUCAUGCUGUCGUUGCGCUACUCUGAUGCCUCAAUUAUAUAUUUCUUGGAAACAAAAUCACAAAGCGUAAAGGUGUGGUAUAGACCUAAUUCUAUUCAUCCUUACAACAUCCUUUCCAAGCGAUGUAGGAUGUCACAAAUGUCCACACAUUCUUGAUUGGGAAUGCUCUAAUACCAUUUGUAACAUCUCAACCUAAACUCUAAGGACAAAUUAAUCUAACAAUAACUCACAUAUGUACUUAAAUAUCUCUUUACAAUCAACAAUAAUUCAAGCCUCAAAUACAAUAUUUAAAUAGCGGGCGACUUUAAAAAUUUUGUCAAACCAUCUACCAUCCUUAAUUCAAGUAUUCUUCUCACUCAUCACGAAUAAAUCUUGACUUUUGGAAAUUGAAUCACAAUAAACUAUAAUGAGUACAAAACUUAAAAAGCAAACUAGUUUUUCAUAUACAUAGAUACUUAUAUAUAAUAUAAAUAGAUGAUAUGCCAUGAUCAAUUCAAAAUAUUGUAAAACAAAUUCAUCAAAAUCUCUUUCUGUCGUUUUCAAACUUUCACAUUUUCUUUCAAUAAAAUACAUAUCAUGCAUCUAGUAAUUUACGCAAUGUGUGGUACUUUGGACUAUGCGUAGCACUUCGCGGCACUCUAUCCCUCGAGAGGUGGUGCAACACCUUGGCAAAUCCUACAUUGACAAAGCAUAGAAGAGAUGUUGGGUUUAUAAGAGGUGUUUCAUGACACGACACAAAAGCGUAUUACUCACAAGUAUAAGAGUGUCUAGUUAUAAUAUAACCCGGUGAGUCUAGGGUCGAACCAUAGGGAAUUUUAAAAUCUAGUUGUCAAUUUGUUAAACAGAGAAAAUAAUUCUGGGGAAAUAAAUUAUUUGAAAACAAUUUAAAAAUAUGCUAAGGUUACGGGAUCCACUCUCAGUAUUCAAACUAUAAUUUUUAUACUCUCUCAUUUAUAUUUUGCCUCACUUUUACUAGUUAAUUAUUAUAUCACUUAAUUCUAUGUGUGAGGAUAAAUAUGGAAUAAAGUACCCAAAUUUUGACAUGGAAGAACUGGUUGGAAAGGCUGUGCAUGAUUGUCAUUUGUCCAACUGAAAUUUGGGUGGUUUCUCCAACCAAAGUUGUAAGUUUGGGAGUAUUGAUUUGAAUUUGGCCUUUUGAAAUUGUCAACGACAUUUACUUGUUCAUGCAAACUUUCUCUCAGAGCUGGCAAAGUUGGACAGUCCUGCAUAGAAUGGUCAGUAGAAUUGCAAACAUAACGUGAAAUAUUUUGAACAGACUUUACAUGAUCAUUCCUUUUCAACUCUAAUGCUUCGACUUUUCUAGCUAAGAAUGCAAAUGUGGCUUGAAAAUCACGGUCUUCCCUAAGGUUGUGCAUGCCUCCACUAAAUGGAGAUGACUGAGGCUUACUUGAUGACUCAUAAGAACCAACUGUAUCCCAGUGUUGUGCAUUCUCUGCUAUAUAGUUAAGAUAGUCUAAUGCAUUUUCAAGACUUUUAUCCCUAAACUCACCAUUACACAUCAUUUCAACGACUUGUCUGCCUUGGGAUGUUAAUCCCUCGUAGAAAUAAGACACUAAUCUCCAUGUUUCAAAAUCGUGGUGUGGGCAAAUGUUAAGUAGUUCUUUAAACCUAUCCCAACAUUGGUAGAGGGUUUCUCCUGGUUUUUGAGUGAAUGUGGUGAUUUGUCUUUUGAAAGAAUUUGUUAUGUGGGGUGGGAAUAAUGUUUUCAAAAAUUAUACUUGCAUUUCAUCCCAAGUUCUGAUAGAUCAUGACCUAAUGUUAGAGUGCAAUUUAUGCACUAGUUUUGUAUUGUUUACUUCCUUUAAUAUCGAUGUUUUGUACUUAAUGAUAGUGAUUUACUUGUCUUUUAUUUUUGUAGGUGCAAUUCUAUUGAUUGGUGCUAAAAUUGAGCUACAAGAUGAUGUUUGAGGAUGAUUGUUUUCCUGGAGAAAUUAUGAGCUUUAAAAGAACUUUGUUGAUAAGGCGUGGGCGCGUGCUGUCAACUAAGGACUUGCAGUUUUUAUUUUAACGUGUUUUAUAUUUUUGGUUAUUUUUGUAAUUUCAAAUUUAAUAUUUACAUAAUAUUUUAGAUAUUAGUAUUUUAUUUUGGGAGAAACGCUAGAAGAGGGGGGAGAGAGAUUUUUGGAAAAAGAAGAAAAAGUAACCCUAAAUCUAAUUUUUCUCUUCUCUCUAUGAAGAACUAAACCUAUUAUUCUGGUUAAAGGUUAAUAAAGCUUUGAUUCAUCAUUAUUGUGAGAUCUUUCUUAUGCUUUAAUUGUUUUAUUGCUUUUUGGGUAUUUGUUUAUUCUCUAAAUUAUUGUCAUGAUUAUGUUUGUUAAUUAGAUAAUUGGCCACUACUUAAUUAUCAACUUAAUCUAUUAUCAAUUAAAAGAUUCAUCGUAUGAAGAUUUUAAUGUUUAUGACAAAUAAUAUAGUAGUGCGUUGUGUUAUGAGAAUAAACAAUCUAAUUUAAAUGAAGUAUCGUAUGCGUUUGUUGAUUAGGAUUUGGGUCUCUCUGGUUUUUCAGGCUGUCAAUUGAUUAAAUCCUAUGAUCGUAUCUAGGGUUGUCUAUUGUUUAGGGAAAUAACCAAUGGUCGUACCUUGGUUAUAGACUAGUUAAGGAGAGAUUGACUAUUAGAGAGUCUCAGUAGCUAUAACCGGUCUAUUCAUAAGUAGUAGUGAUUUAUAUUUGAAUCAAUGAUUAGUAGUUGAAUUAAGCUGAGUUAAUUCCUUCAACCAGAGCUUUUCCUAAUUUGAAUUAAAAUUUGAAUUUGCAUUUUUGUUAUUUUAAUUUGAUUUUUAUUAUUGUCAACAAUCCCCCCCAUUUUGCAUUUUACAUUUUAAAAUAAUUUAAAUAAUUAUCGAUAUCUGUGGACACGACCUUAUGAAGGUUUUUCGGUGAAUAUUGUGGAGGAAGUGACUCUCGAGAGUCCCAUUUAUGCAGAUUGAUGCAUGAAUGUGUCUAACCAAAGAUAUAAAACAAAGGCGCUUUUUGGGAGGAAACCCAAAUGAUUUAUUUAUUUUGAAUUUUGUUAUAUCUUUUGUUUUUAAUUUUGAUUCAGAUUGUUUAAAUAAUGUUUUUGCUUAUUUUGGCCAGAAGAAAUUUUUUGGUUAGGCGUGCCCACGUUUUAACUAAUAAGAACUUCUAUGAUUUUAAAGUACAAUGGUUUUAAGGCUUGCCCAUAUGCUUAUUAAAAAAGUACUUCUGUAAAUUUUUUUGGUGUCUCAAGUGUCUCUUUUAGUUUUUAGUUUCAAUAAAAAAAAUAUUUGAAAAUAAAAAGGUUUUUUAAAAAAUUUUAUUUGAUAAAAAAAAUUGAAAUUUUUUUUUCAGGUUUUAAUCCCUAGCGCGCAGCUCUAGCCCGCGUCUCCAGUGCAAGCAGCCGCGUCUGCACCAGCCCAGCAUCCUGCGCGCAGUACCAGCCUUGAAACCAGCACCAGCGUCUCCAGCGCGCGUUUGCACCAGCCCUGCAAGCAGUCCAAGCCCAGCAACCCGCACAGCCUCACUCUCCUCUGUUCAAAGGACCGCCGCUUUUCGCAUUCAAACAAAACCCGUGAGUGAAAUUACUGUAACAAUGCCAAAGAGGAAAGCAUCAACUUCCAAGUUAUCAACGUCUAAAAAAAACUCGUUGCAAAGAAAUCCAAGAUUGCCGCUCCCACUACGGUCCCAUGGAACACAGUUUCAGAUUCACGCCAAGCCGUGAGACAAAGAUCGAAAUAUGGAAAAGGCAUGAGUGUUUUGCCACUUGCUGAAUCUAAUCUCAGAGGGUGCCUCACAUUCACGACUCAACAAGAGAAAGAAAUGUACAAAGAUAUUUCCAAGUGAAAAAUACUUCCAGCUAAGUAUAUUCAUUACCCGACUCUUGAAAAAUUGAAUGUUAAGGAUAAUUUUAAUUCUUUGAUAGAUAAGAUUGGUUUGCGUAAGUUUGUUGAUGUUGAUUGUUUGGGUUAUGUUGAGUUGAUUAGGGAGUUCUAUGCUACUUUUCAAUUUAAUAUACCGAAUGAUUUUACUUUGCAUACUCUGAAUGUUAUAAAGUUUAGGUUAAUGCGACGAAAUUUUUCACAAUCUAUUACAGAUUUUAACCUAGCUUUAGGAUUCAUUGAUGAUGAUUAUUCUUCUAGUGAUGCAUAUUUAGGGACAAAUUGUGACUUUAGCAAAAAUUUUGAGCCUUAUGGUCUUUGGCGUAAUUUAUUUUUUGAUCACAAUGCCUACGACCCGAGUAAAUCAAAGAGCUCUUUUUUACGUGAUCCUGUUUUGAAAUGUGUGCAUCGGUUCUUAGCAUUAGGAAAUAAAGAUCACUCGAGAGUUUUCUCUAAAAUUGAGUUUUAUUUUAUUUGGUGCAUGUUAAAUGAUGUGAGGCCUAAUCUAGGUUUUUAGUUAGCAGAUCAAUUUUAGAGUGUGCUUAAACGGUAUAGGACUUUAUUUCUUGGUCCAUACAUUACUCUGUUAGCUAUAAACUUAUGUGUACUUGAUCUUGACAAUAAUGAUUUACAUCUUGCUUGCAAAAAGGAAUUUUUGGAUAUGUCUUUGUUUGAAAGAGCAGGUUUGGUCUAAUUCGAGGGGAGAUUUCAGUUUACUGAACCAGGACCCACUCAAAUUCCAAAGAAGCUUUAUGCUAGGAGUCGUGCUACCUCUGAUGACGUGUUUGGCGACGAAAUUGCUGCCCCACCAACUAUUCCUGCUACAUCUGCACCACCUUUGAGCAUUUAGUUAGAGAAAAUGGAGCACAUGCUAAACAAGAUGAAGCAGAAUUUGGCCGCAUACUUCGAGAGUGUGGGAUUUAUCCCACCAUUUCCGUCAAGCCCAUAAACGUUAUGUGGAUCAAAGCUCACAAUUCAGAGAAGUUUUGCCUUUAAUCUUUUAUCCUUAUGCUUUAUUUCUUUAUGUGAGCUUUGAUUAUCAUACAUUGAGGACAAUGUAAGUUCUUGGUGUGGGGGAGGGAUUUUUGCAAUAUUGAUAUCUGGAAGUAUUAUUUUCACUCUGCUCAUCUUUAAAUGAUUUUGGAGUUAGUAUGCUUCAUAUAUUAUUCUUAAUUUUUUUCUUUUCUUUUCUUUCUCAAUACUCUUUUCCCAUCUAUCUCAAAUUAUUUACAUCUAUUUUUAUUUUAUCAUACUCUUUCAUCACUCACAUUUUAUAUUUCACUUUUUAUAUUACUACAUACAUCUUUCUCGCUUCUUAUCCUCUUGACCUUUCCUUUUAUAUAUCACUCAUACCUUCUUCUCAUUCUACACCACUAUUGAUGGUUGUUUCAUUUGAAGAGUGUACAUGAUUUGAUGGCAAAUUUACCAACUUUGUGAGGAUUUGAGCCUAUGAGCAACCAUUUUGCUCUAAUUAUUUUUGUUAUGUGAAUAUCAAUCUUAGUUUGUUUAUUCUAGAACUUGCUUUGUUAUGCAUGUUGAAGCCAUAUUACGGGAUUUUAUGCAUUAAAAUGAUAAGGGCAAACCACUUUCCAUUUCUCUAUUUUCGAAUUUUUCUUCUUUUUCUCCAUCCGAAGACCUUUAUUUGUUAUCUUUGUUUGAGCCUUAACCAUUCUCUUCACUUGUUUUAUUAUUAUUACUUUUGACCAUCUAAUUCUCUCCAUCUACUUACCCAUUUUCCUUUUUUUUGAGCUCCAAUUUAAGGAGAUUUUUGGACUCAUUGUUUGGAUAUAUUUUGUAUAUAUUCUGUUGCUUUUGCUACAUUGAAUUAAAGUUUCUCAAUUAGAUCAACAAGCAUUAUGCUUGAAUUAAAUUGUGCAAGGUUCAUUUCUUUUGUUUGGUUCACCAUUACUGUGAAAAAAGAAAAAAAAGAAAAAAAACAUUAAAAAAAAGUGUUUAUAUUCUUGGCGAUUUGAGUAGAAAUAAGUGUUUUGAUAUUAUAAGGUUCAUUCAAUGAGUUCAUUCUUCUCGGUUUGAUCUCUUUUUCUUUCAUAGACCUUUCUUUUUUAUUUAACCCAUUUAACCUUGUUACAACCUUUUUAAGACCCUUAGAUUUUUUCAUUUAAUUCAUGUUUUGUGGAUUGAGAUGUGAUAUAUGAGCAAUCUUAUGGUAAUAGCAUUCUUUGAUUUGAUUUGAGUGCAUAAAUGAUACCCUAAACACUUUGAGUGCAUGAAGUGAAGUCAAUGAGAGGGCUAUUAAAUCUUGUUGCACUUGAAUUUUGAAUGGAUCUUCUUGGUGGAUUGAAUGCUUUUAUACUAGCUUAUGAGAUCCUAUACUUUAAAAUCCUUGUCUCUCGAAUGUUGAUUGACUUAAAUUCUUGAGGUAUGCUUGCUUAAAUUUGUUUUUGGAUGAGUUGAGAUGAGAAUUGAGUGGAGAUUUGGGAUUAGUCUUGAGUUAUAUGCUUGAGGACAAGUAUUAUCUUGGUGUGGGGGAAUUUGUUAGAGUGCAAUUUAUGCACUAGUUUUGUAUUGUUUACUUCCUUUAAUAUCGAUGUUUUGCACUUAAUAAUAGUGAUUUACUUGUAUUUUAUUUUUGUAGGUGCAAUUCUAUUGAUUGAUGCUAAAAUUGAGCUACAAGAUGAUGUUUGAGGAUGAUUGUUUUCCUGGAGAAAUUAUGAGCUUCAGAAGAACUUUGUUGAUAAGGCGUGGGCAUGUGCAGUCAACUAAGGACCUGCGGUUUUUAUUUUAACGAGUUUUAUCUUUUUGGUUAUUUUUGUAAUUUUGAAUUUAAUAUUUAGAUAAUAUUUUAGAUAUUAGUAUUUUAUUUUGGGAGAAAUGCUAGAAGAGGGGGGAGAGAGAUUUUUGGAAAAAGAAGAAAAAGAAACCCUAAAUCUAAUUUGUCUCUUUUCUCUAUGAAGAACUAAACUUAUUAUUCUGGUUGAAGGUUAAUAAAGCUUUGAUUCAUCAUUACUGUGAGAACUUUUUUAUGCUUUAAUUGUUUUAUAGCUUUUUGGGUAUUUAUUUAUUCUCUAAAUUAUUGUCAUGAUUAUGUUUGUUAAUUAGAUAAUUGGCCACUACUUAAUUAUCAACAUAAUCUAUUGUCAAUUAAAAGAUUCAUCGUAUGAAGAUUUUAAUGUUUGUGACAAAUAGCAUAGCAGUGCGUUGUGUUAUGAGAAUAAACAAUCUAAUUGAAAUGAACCAUCGUAUGCAUUUGUUAAUUAGGAUUUGGAUCUCUCUGGUUUUUCAGGCUGUCAAUUGAUUAAACCCUAUGAUCGUAUCUAGGGUUGUCUAUUGAUUAGGGAAAUAACCAAUGGUCGUACCUUGGUUAUCGACUAGUUAAGGAGAGAUUGGCUAUUAGAGGGUCUCAGUAGCUAUAACCGGUCUAUUCAUAAGUAUUAGUGAUUCAUAUUUGAAUCAAUGAUCAGUAGUCGAAUCAAACUGAGUUAAUUCCUUCGACCAGAGCUUUUCACAAUUUGAAUUACAAUUUUAAUUUGCAUUCUUGUUAUUUUAAUUUGAUUUUUAUUAUUGUCAACAAUCCCCCCCCCAUUUUGCAUUUUACAUUUUAAAAUGAUUUAAAUAAUUACUGAUCUCUGUGGACACGACCCUGCUUAAUCACUAUACACAAUUUAUUUAGAGUAGGUAUUUAUUUUUGCUGGCUUCGACAACCAUCACCUAAGAUUUUGUAGCCAAGUUUUAUCUUUAUCCUUUAGUAAGAAAAGAAAAAACUUAAGCCUGAUUAUAUUCAUGCUACAAUUUUGAUCAGUACAUGUGUUACAGACUUCCUCAAAUUCCCUUAAAUGCAAAUAUGGAUUUUCAGACACAAAACCAUGAAAAAUAGGAAGAAGUUGAAUGAUACCAGGUUUGAAAUUAAAACGUGAUGCAUCAGGAGGGAAAACUAUGCAUGAUGGUGAUCUUGUUCUAGUGGGAUGCAUGAAGUCUUUAAGGGUCCUAGGCUGUUCAUGAAGAUUUUGCAAGACUUGGUCAUUUUCGUACUCCGAAAAUUUUUUAGCUCCUAUGUCAGCCAUAUCUAAGGGUGGUGAAGGUGAUCUCCUAAUUAAUCUGCCACUAUUUGUACGAGACCAACAAUGCAUGCAAUGCUAAUGAUGUGUGCUAAACCAAUGAUGCAUAAAAUGCUAAAUGAAAAUUGUAGAAAAUAAAAAUAAACUGGAAAUUAAAUAAGUAAAAAUGCGAAAUAAAAAUAAACAAAUUGAAAAUAAAUUAGGUGGUGAAACCAGCCAUAAACAAAGAAAUUACAAAAAUAAAUAAAUUUGGCAGUGAAACCAACCAUAAACAAAGAAAUUAAAAAAAACAGUUUAGGCGGUAUUUUAAAACCAGCCAUAUAAUAAAACAUAAAAUUAAAUUAAUUAAUGUACAAGAAUAAAUAAACUGAAAUUAAAAUGAUAGGCCGUAAAACCAACCAUAUCAAUAAAUUAACAAAUUGAAAUUAAAAUUCUAGGCGGUAGAACCGAACAUUUAAAAUAAAUGCGGAAAGUAAAUUGUAGAAAUUUGGGAACUGAUUUGCAAAGGUUUUUGGGCUAAAAUGAAGUUUCUCACAAAUUUUAUAGAUAAUGUUAAAGUUUGAAAAGAGGAGGGGCACUGACUGAAGUUUUACAAAAAGAGAAUAAAAUAGAAUCACAGAAAGAUAGUAACGACAAAAAAAUAUUAAAAUAAACUAAAGUAAAGAUAAACUGACACCAAAUUUAGAAAACUCCGCGGUAACGGCGCAAAAAACCUGACACGACUUAAAAGUGUAUUACUCCCAAGUAUGAAAAUGUCUAGUUAUAAUAUAACUCGGUGAGUUUGGGGUCGAACCACAGGAAAUUUUAAAAUCUAGUUGUCAAUUUGUUAAACAAAGAAAAUAAUUGUGGGGAAAAUAAAUUAUUUGAAAACAAUUUAAAAAUAUGCCAAGGUUAUGAGAUCCACUCUCAGUAUUCAAACUAUAAUUUUAAUACUUUCUCAUUUAUAUUUUGCCUCACUUUUACUAGUUAAUUAUUAUAUCAUUUAAUUUUAUGUGUGUGGAUAAAUAUUGAAUAAAGUACCUAAUGUGCCACACUAUAUUAAUGUGUCGACAUUAUGUCAAAAUACCAUACAAAUCCAAAGAAAUUUAUAAAUUAACAUGACAUAAAAAUAACUAGAAAAGAAUAAAAUAAACUUAAAAACUCAUUUGAGAAAAUAAUAAAUUUAAUAGUUUGAAAUAUUGAGUUUCACCCUUCACUUCAACUUAAUAAAAUUAGUCACUCAUAUUGAAAGAAAACACAAUACUCUUUUUAUUUCUUGUACUUUUGAAAUAUGUUACAAAGAAAAUUGAUACAGACGAAAACAAGAAAAGAAAAGAAAAGAAAAGAAAAGAAAAGAAAAGAAACAAAGAAACAAAGAAAUUCUUCAACUACACCCUUAGCUAUCACUCUCUCUCAGAACUCGGCUCCGUCCCCCAAUGGCUUGUAUCUCCUUGCAUUUUAUAGGCAAGGGAAGCAUCUUCUUUUCUUUUAUUUCAUUAAUAUUAAUAUUUUAUUUUAUUUUUAUAUUAUAAAUAUGUUAAUUGAAAUGUGUGAUGGCCUCCUGACCAUCACCAACAUGCUUGCCAAUCCUUUUUUUUAUUUGUUUUAUUUUUAAUAACAUCUCCUCGAUUGAUGAAUUCUAAAUUGCUCCAGCUGUCUUUCUUUAUUCUCGCUUUUAACUCCAAUUCCAUCUUUAUUCCUGAAAAAUAUUUAUAAGGUAAAAAUUAACAUAUUGCAAAUUAAUUUAACAAAAAAAUAUAUUUGGGGAAUAUUAAAAUAAUUUAAAAAUAAUGAGCGCAUUAAUUGACACAAUAAGUGAAAUACUAAUAAUUUUAUCCUUAUUAAAUGUGCACUUUUUAGUGUCAAUCACACCCCCCAACCAGCCCCAACCUGCUUAUUGCUAGGUAUUAGCAAUUUAAGCGAUAAAAGUUUAGUAAAAUUCAAACUCAAAUUGAAUUUUUUUUAAAAAAAUUGUAUUUACUUCUUUCAUCAGAUUAAUGACAACAAUCAAAUAAAAGUAUACUCAUUAUCUUUAACCUAAAGAAAAUCACACCUGCACAAAAAAGUUAAGUAAAAUCACGUAAAAUAAUCAAUUAUCAGAGCUAUAUUAAUCAAGUCACUUUUAAGAAUGAUACAUCAAAUCUCAAAACCUCACAAAUAAGAGUGACUCUCUCAAAAAAAAAUAUUCCCAAAAUUAAAUUGUCACUCUAAACAUGGUAGAUUUGAGAGAAUAAUAAAAUAAUAUCACACGCUCUCACUAAGAUGAAAAAAUAAUGUCUACAGCUUAAAAAUAAAAUGAUCUCAAGUCCAAGGAAUUACUAGCAAAAUUUAUUUUUAUUUUUAUGCAUCACCACAUCUUUUAGUCCAUAUUACCAGCUUUUACUUCAGACUAUAGUUCCGAAAAAUCGAGAAGGACUUUUAUUAGGACGUAACGUAGGCUAAGAUUAUCGCUAACAAAAAAGGUAAUAGGGAAAACAAAAAUAUAUGUUUAAAAAAUAAGGGACUUUUUGGAGAUUACAAGAUUCUUUUUUUUUCUUGGAUUUGUUUUCUCUUUUUUUGUUUUUUUUUUCAUUUUUAUUUUUAUAUACAUAUCCUCUCUUUUUUUUCAUAACACCAUUAUUAGAAAUACAUAAUCAUCCCUAUUUUCAAACAUAAUUGGGUGGUGGAAAACAUAAUAUAUAAGGUGAUACUCCACAUUGGAGUGGGAUAAUAUAAUAGGUUAUCAAAGGAAAAGUUUUUUUUUUUCAAAAGCUCAAAGGGGUUAACUAUGGACUCUUUAUAAUAGAGUUUGAUACAAAAGGCUUAAACAAAUCAAAGAUAGCCUUCUGUCAUUUUUUAGAGCUCUAAAUAAUCUUUCAUAUCUACUAGUUCAAUGGACUUUUAGAUGCAGCUGCACAAACUUUCUUUUUUUCACUCUUUUUUUUAAUAAAAAAUAUUGAGAUCUUGUACAAUAAAUUGUGAAGCUGUAUAGGCAAACAUGGUUACUCUCCAAGGAUAAUAGGCUCAAAAACUCGCUUGAACUUUUCAUAACAUGUACAUUCAUCCAAAUAGCUUAAUCAAAUUUACUCAUCAAAUUUCUCAAUUUAUGUUUCAACAUGCAACGGGGAAAACAUAGUGUAACAUAACUCCAGGCCAACGAUAAUACAAAUACCAAAAUUUGAAAAUCAUCAUGUUAUCCAAUGUUAAAAGAUCAUAUUGAAAAAGAAAACUCUUUUUUUUUUGUUAAAGAAACACUAAAAACAAUCUGGACUGAUUACAGAAACUUAAGGGAGAUGAUUAAGAGAAAAAGAGAAAAAGACAAAAAACAAAAAGUUAGAAAACAAUUUUUUUUUUAAGAACAAAACACUAAAAUUAAGAAGAUGCGUUUCUAGAGAUACUACAUUCUAUAUUUUGAUAUCUUCGACUCAAAUUUUUAUCUAAAGUUAGUCUUUACAACACAAAUUAGUAAAAACAUCACCAGGACUGAGACAUUCCACAAUUGUCGACUAUUCCCUCCCCCCAACCUGAAGGAGACAUUGUCCUCAAUGUCUAAAGAAAGAAGUAGAGUUUAGAAGAUAUCACCCGGCCACUGCUGAAAAUAUUUACAAACAGAGAGUUAAAUCUAAUUUAUAAUUUUUACGAGAGUUACUGCCAUCGUCAUCAGUUGCCCAAUCUAACGCCAAAGUCAUGGGAUCUGGCUCUAAUUUGUAAGCUUGCAAAAGAUCAAGUAACUCAUUAGCAGUAGGAGCACAAAUGAAGAGUUUUUUCGCUGAGGGUGGAAUGAAAUAAUUUUUAAUUGCAUGAUUAAGAAAUGUUAUUAAGCCAUCAUAAAAGUUAUUAACAUUUAACAAACCGAUGAGUUCAAGAAGCAAAUGUAAUUAGCGCCUCUAAAGUUGCAAGAUCUCCUGGCAAGAAAAUGAAAGCAUCAACAUGAUUUAACAUUUCAAAUAUUCUUUCUUGCAUACCUGAGACAACUAACUCUUCUCCAGUUGGUGGGUCUGGUAGACAUCCUAAAGGUUUUAAGGUUUUUGGAAUGAUUCCUAGCACUUGGCUUCCUCGAACGAAAGCAGCUUCAGAGACAAGCUUUGAUAACCCUCGGUCAUCUCCUCCAUAUAUAAGAUGUAGUUUCUUCUCUACUAUAACACGACCAAGAUCUAUCGCUGCCUGAACGAACUCCUUAUACUUUCCAUAGCGAAAUCCAGAAAGCACACAAAUGUUCUUUAAUUGUUUGCUUGAAGUUGUUGCCAUUAGAAAAAUUAUAAAAAGAAACAAUUUGUGAGUGCUUGAAAAGGAGGUCCUAUUUAAAGAUCUUGGUGACGGACAUAAUGAUAUACAUUUGUAAAUGGGGUGGUGUGUUUAUCAAAUGACGCGUGAAGCUUUUAGCUUAAUAAUUCAAAGGCAUAUAGUAAAAAGAAAAAGCAAACAGUGAUUAGAUAUAAAAAAGACACACAAUAAUAAUAAUAAUGCAAAAUAUAAAAGAACAAUAAAAUAAAAGGAUAUUUACUAGUAGUUGUGAUUGUGGCUUACAUCUUCCUCUGGUUUUACAUCCAGUAACGGCUUGAACGCCCUCUGUGGGUCGAGGAUAGGCUUCCCAUCCAGUUUUCUUAUAAACUGGCAAAUAGGGUCUUUUAGGAACAACUUCCACAAAUUUUGAAUUUCACAUUGAACAUAUCCGCUCGGAUGUGUCUCAAGAGAUCGUAAGAUAUCAUCCAACGAUUCUUUACUUAUGCCAUCCUUAACGAAUUUGAUUUUAUCUUCAUGAUUUACAGAAACCAUUCCUAAAGUUUUACAACAUGGUUUUCUACAAGCAAGUCUUACAUAGUUAGGACAUUUAGAGCCAAGUCUCUUAGCUCUUCUUUUCUUAGCAAAUGUACUUUUACCAAAACCAGGCAUGUAGGAAAUGAAUGGAUCAGAAAACUCACAUGCCAGUCGGACCUUUGCUUCAAUUAACCGGCGAAUGUCAGCAAGAAUCCCAUUGAUCAUUAACAAACGCAGUCGUUCACAACGAGUUUUGUAAAUCUUCUUAAGAGCAUUUUGAGGGAGAGAAGGAAAAUGUUGAUGCAAUUUUCGUUGUAUUUCUUCCAUGCUUGACAUUGAGGUUUCAGUUAUUGUGGAAAACUGAGAAUACCAACUUAAAAUGUCACAAAGUACUGUUAUCCGCCAUUUAUAUUGGAGAGUGAAUCAAAACAAAACGAAUCAAAUCUGCAAAAUCAAAUCAAAAGUGAAGAACAACAACAAAAUAAAACAAAAACCCACAAGGAAUAUUACUCACCUUCGUCCUUUUAUUGAAUUUACCUCCAGUUCCAAUUGCAGAUUAUAAAUACCAUCAUCUAUUUUCUUGAGUUGUCUUUCUAGAUCUUUCACGUGGUAUACCAACUCUGGUUGUUGUAGAUCCCAAAUGGGAUGUGAUUUACAAAAUCUGAGCAAUUUCCUCAAGUGAAAUUUUACAUGUAAAAGUUCUUUAAAAUGUUCGAAAAUGAUACUUCUCAUGGAGGUACUCAUGAUAAGUAUAACAAUUUGGUGAGCUAAAGCACAAUUGUCAAACAACACACAAUUAAAAACAAUGCAAUGCACUCCAUUCAAGACAUAAGGAAAAGGAAAAAAUCAACAAUUCAAACGAUAAAGUAACAGUAAAUCAAAUUCACAAAAAGUUGAAAUGAAAAAAGCUUAAUUAAAAUUUGGUGGGUCACUCAAAUUGAUUUCGGUAUCUGCUUCACGCGGUUGGUAUUCCAGAUAUGGUUUCAAUCUUUGACCAUUAACUUUAAAUAAGGCACCAUAAUUUGGAUUCUCAAUUUCUACGGCUCCAUAUGGAUAUACAUUUUUUACAACAAAUGGACCAUUCUACUUUGACUUUAAUUUUCCUGAAAAUAAAUGAAGACGAGAAUUAUAAAGCAACACUUUUUGACCAAUGUUUUCCGAAAAAUUCUUUUGCCAUGAAAAAAUUUGGUUCUUGCCUUAAUAAUUCUGGAAUUCUCAUAUGCAUUAUUCUUUAAUUCCUCAAGUUCAUUUAAUUGCAAUUUACGCACAUUACCAGCAUCAUCAAGAUUUGAAUUAAAAGCUUUAAUGGCCCAAAAUGAUUUAUGUUCAAGUUCAACUGGUAAGUGGCAAGAUUUUCCAUAAACAAGCCGAUAAGGUGACAUUCCUAAAGAUGUUUUAAAAACAGUACGAUAUGCCCAAAGUGUAUCAGUUAGUCGAAGAGACCAAUAUUUACGGUUUGGAUUAACUAUCUUUUCUAAAAUUUAUUUUAUCUCCCUAUUUGCUAAUUUAAGUUGACCACUUGUUUGAGGGUGAUAAGGGGUAGCAACUUUAUGUGUAAUUCUAUAUUUCUUCAUUAAGGACUAAAGUAGCUUAUUACAAAAAUGCUUACCCUAUCACUGAUAAUGACUCGAGGUAUUCCAAAUCUGCUCAAAAUAUUUUCUUUUAAAAAGCGAAUCACAAUCUUGUGAUCAUUGUGCCGACAAGGAAUUGCCUCGAUCCAUUUUGAAACAUAAUCAACAGCAACCAAAAUGUAUACAAAUCCAAAUGAUGAUGGAAAAGGGCCCAUAAAAUCAAUUCCCCAACAAUCAAAUAUUUCAAUGACAAGGAUGGGGUUUAAAGGCAUCAUGUUUCGCUUUGAAAUAGACCAUACCAUUUGACAAUUCUUACACACUUUACAGAAUGCAUGUGAAUCUUUAAAUAAUGUAGGCCAAUAAAAUCUACACUGUAAUAUUUUUACAGCUGUCUUUUUUCAAGAAAAAUGGCCACCGCAUGCUUCAGAAUGACAAAAUUGAAAGACCCUACUUACCUCGUCGUCUGGUAUGCAUCUUCAAAAAAUUUGAUCAGAGUAGUACUUAAACAGGUAUGGAUCAUCCCAGUAAAAGCUUCUCACUUUUGUUAAGAAUUUCUUCUUGUCCUGGGAACUCCAGUCACAUGGAAUUUCACCUGUUGAAAGAUAAUUAACAAUAUUAGCAUACUAAGGCAUUUUGUUUAUAGAAAAUAAAAAUUCAUCAAGGAAAGAAUCAUUGAUGGGUGUUGUUUCAAUUGAAGACUCAUUCGUAAGUAUUGAAAGAUGAUCUGUAACAACAUUUUCAACGCCUUUUUUGUCCUUGAUUGUCAAGUUAAAUUCUUGAAGUAGCAAAAUCUAUCGUAUCAACCUUGGUUUGACAUCCUGUUUUGACAUUAAAUAUCUCACAACAACAUGAUCAGAAUAAACAAUAGUGGAUGAACUAAUUAAAUACGAACGAAAUUUAUUCAAUGCAAAUAUUACAGCAAGUAGUUUUUUAUCAGUUGUAGUGUAAUUCAUUUGAUCACUAUUCAAAUACGAACGAAAUUUAUUCAAUGCAAAUAUUACAGCAAGUAGUUUUUUCUCAAUUGUAGUGUAAUUCAUUUUAUCACUAUUGAAAGUUCUACUUGCGUAAUAGAUGACAAAGGGCUUACCUUCCUUUUUUUUUUACCCCGAACAAUGCAAACGGUAUAACCACUAGCAUCACACAUUAGCUCAAAAGGUAAAGACCAAUCAGGGGGUUGCAUUAUUAGGGCUGAUGUCAAAAGAGUAGUUAUUCAUUUGAUCACUAUUCAAAUACGAACGAAAUUUAUUCAAUGCAAAUAUUACAGCAAGUAGUUUAAUUAAAUACGAACGAAAUUUAUUCAAUGCAAAUAUUACAGCAAGUAGUUUUUUCUCAAUUGUAGUGUAAUUCAUUUGAUCACUAUUGAAAGUUCUACUUGCGUAAUAGAUGACAAAUGGCUUACCUUCCUUUUUUUUUUACCCUGAACAAUGCAAACGGUAUAACCACUAGCAUCACACAUUAGCUCAAAAGGUAAAGACCAAUCAGGGGGUUGCAUUAUUAGGGCUGAUGUCAAAAGAGUAGUUAUUCAUUUGAUCACUAUUCAAAUACGAACGAAAUUUAUUCAAUGCAAAUAUUACAGCAAGUAGUUUUUUCUCAAUUAUAGUGUAAUUCAUUUGAUCACUAUUGAAAGUUCUACUUGCGUAAUAGAUGACAAAGGGCUUACCUUCUUUUUUUUUUUACCUCGAACAAUGCAAACGGUAUAAUCACUAGCAUCACACAUUAGCUCAAAAGGUAAAGACCAAUCAGGGGGUUGCAUUAUUAAAGCUGAUGUCAAAAGAGUAGUUAUUUUUUCAAAAACUUGUUGACAAUCUUUAGUCCAUUCAAAAGGUUUGUCUUUUAUUAUGAGGUUACAAAGUGGUCUAGAUAUGACACUAAAGUCUUUUAUAAACCUCCUAUAAAAUUCUGCGUGUCCUAAAAAUGAACGGACUUCUUUAAUUGUCUUUGGUGAGGGUAAUUUUGAAAUGACUUCAACUUUGUCUUUGUCAACUUCAAUUCCUUUUGAAGACACAACAUGGCCCAAGACAAUUCCAGAAGUGGUCAUGAAAUGACAUUUUUUCCAAUUUAAAAUUAGUCAUUUUUCUUUGUACCUUUCCAAAAUUUUUUCUAGAUUAUCAAGACAUGUAUCAAAAGAAUUACCAAAUACAGUUAAAUCAUCCAUAAAACCCUCUAGACAAUUUUCAACCAUAUUACUAAAAAUGCUUAGCAUGCACCUUUGAAAUGUUGCAGGAGCAUUACAAAGUCCAAAGGGCAUUCUCCUAAAUGCAAAUUUUCCAAAUGGGCAUGUGAAUGUGGUCUUUUCCUGGUCUUCUAAGUCUAUAGGGAUUUGAUAAUAGCCAGAGUAGCCAUCAAGAAAGCAAUAGUAAGGAUGUCCAACUACUCUUUCGAGAAUUUGGUCUAAAAAUGGAAUGGGAAAAUGAUAUUUUCUAGUGGCAUCAUUUAAUUUUCUAUAAUCAAUGCACAUGCGCCAACUAGAUGGAAUUUGUGUUGGGAUUGGUUCACCUUUUUCAUUUUUUACAACGGUUAUUCCAGAUUUCUUUGGCACUACUUGUGUUGGACUUACCCAUUUACUAUAAGAGAUAGGAUAGAUAAUUCCUACAUCUAGUAGUUUAAGGACCUCAUUCUUUACCACUUCUUCCAUAUGAGGGUUUAGUCUUCUUUGUGGUUGACGGGUUGUUUUGGCAUUUUCCUCUAAGUGUAUUCGGUGUGUACAAAUUAAAGGAUUAAUGUCUUUUAUGUCUUUUAAGGUCCAACCAAAUGCAGUUUUAUGCCUUUUGAGUACAAAUAACAACUUACUUUCUUGAUCAUGCAUGAGCUGGGAAGAAAUUACCACCAGAUUUGUCUUCUGCUCUCCAAGAUAAGCAUAUUUCAAUUCUUCUGGUAAGGGCUUUAAUUCGAGCUCUGGUGCUUCCUCUUCGUUUGAUUCUUCAGGUUGUACCGUAUCUUUAAAGUUCGAUUGGCCAUCGUCACCUGUAGGUACCUGCAUAGAAUCAAGUGUAGAACAUAUGUUAGCAGUAUUAUAAUUUAAUUCUUUACUUGAUCCAAAAGAACCAGCAAAAUAAAUUUCCAUAAAGUUUGUAAAAUUCUCAUCCUGAAUGUGUUCCUCAAUGAUUGGCUUGAUAAGAUCAAUCUUCUCAUUCUCAUUAUCAUCAUAUUCUUGGUGGUGGGGUUGUUUACACAUGUUGGACACAUUGAGUUCUAAUGUCAUGUUGCCGAAAGAUAAAUUCAUUACUUUAUAUUCCUGCAAUUAAUUAAAGUAUUAGUAGUAGUUAAAAAUGGUCGACCCAAUAUAAUAGGAAUUUGUUUGCAUUCAUUAGCAAUUGGUUCCGUUUCCAAAACAAUAAAAUCCAUAGGGUAUAUGAAUUUAUCGACUCGGACUAAUACAUCUUCAAUUAUUAUUCUUGGAACUUUAAUCGAUCUAUCAGCAAGUAAAAGAGUGGUAGAAGUUGGUUUUAACUCAUUGAGAUUGAGUUGUUGGUACAUUGAGUAAGGAAGCUAAUUAACACUAGCACCAAGAUCAAGUAGAGCAUGUCCAAUUUUAUGAUCCCCAAUAAUGCAAGAAAUAGUUGGACAACCAGGAUCCUUGUAUUUCAAAGCACUAUUGGUUGAGAGAAUGGAACUUUCCUGUACUACUAGAAACGCUUUCUUUUGCACUUUAUGUUUCCUUUUCACCGUGCACAAAUCUUUCAGAAAUUUAGCAUAAGAAGAUAUUUGUUUAAUGGUGUCCAGCAAAGGAAUGUUGACCUUCACUUGUUUAAAAACUUCAUAAAUUUCUAGACUGUGCUUUGAUUUCUUUGGCUUGAUUAGUGCUUGAGGAAAUAAGGGUAGAAGGGGAGAGUUGGUUAUUUCUUCAUGGGUUAAAGGUUCGAAAGACUCUUCCCUAUUUUUUGAAAUUAAAUCUUUACUAGUUUCAUGAGGGUCCACAAUGUGUUUUUCGACCACUUUACCACCACAAAGGGUUAUAACCGAUUUGACUUGAUUUAUAUUUUGGUUUCCUGAAUUUCCCAUUUGAGGAUGUUGUUGACUCUUGGGGUUUGGUUCAGGUUGAGCAGGAAACUUUCCUUUUUCAUGCAUGGUCAGAGCAAAUGUAAGUUUGGAGAUAGUUUCUGUCAAAUUGGUUAAGGUUUGCAUUGUUUGGUUAUUAAUCGACUCUUGUUUUUCAAUAAACAAAUGCAAUGUGUCUUUCAGAGUUUUUCUUGAUGGUGGGACAUAUGGUGAGUAACUCUGGGGGUUUUGGAAAUUUUGACAUUGAAGAACUGGUUGUGAAGGCUGUGCAUGAUUGUCAUUUCUCCAACUGAAAUUCGGGUGGUUUCUCUAACCAGAGUUGUAAGUUUGGGAGUAUGGAUUUGAAUUUGGCCUUUUGAAAUUGUCAACAACAUUUAGUUGUUCAUGCAAACUUUCUCUCAGAGCUGGCAAAGUUGGACAGUCCUGCAUAGAAUGGUCAGUAGAAUCGCAAACAUAACAUGAAAUAUUUUGAACAGACUUUACAUGAUCAUUCUUUUUCAACUCUAAUGCUUCGACUUUUCUAGCUAAUGAUGCAAAUUUGGCUUGAAAAUCAUGGUCUUCCCUAAGGUUGUGCAUGCCUCCACCAGAUGGAGAUGACUGAGGUUUACUUGAUGACUCAUAAGAACCAACUGUAUCCCAGUGUUGUGCAUUCUCUGCUAUAUAGUCAAGAUAGUCUAAUGCAUCUUCAGGACUGUUAUCCCUAAACUCACCAUUAAACAUCAUUUCAAUGACUUGUCUACCUUGGGAUGUUAAUUCCUCGUAGAAAUAAGACACUAAUCUCUAUGUUUCAAAACCGUGGUGUGGGCAAAUGUUAAGUAGUUCUUUAAACCUAUCCCAACAUUGGUAGAGGGUUUCUCCUAAUUUUUGAGUGAAUGUGGUGAUUUGUCUUUUGAAAGAAUUUGUUAUGUGGGGUGGGAAGAAUUUUUUCAAAAAUUGUACUUGCAUUUCAUCCCAAGUUUUGAUGGAUCCUGACCUAAGAAUUUUUAGCCAAGUUUUAGCUUUAUCCUUAAGUAAGAAAGGAAAAAACUUAAGCCUGAUUAUAUUCAUGCUACAAUUUUGAUCAGUACAUGUGUUACAGACUUCCUCAAAUUCCCUUAAAUGCAAAUAUGGAUUUUCAAACUCAAAACCAUGAAAAGUAGGAAGAAGUUGAAUGAUACAAGGUUUGAAAUUAAAACGUGAUGCAUCAGGAGGGAAAACUAUGCAUGAUGGUGAUCUUGUUCUAGUGGGAUGCAUGAAGUCUCUAAGGGUCCUAAGCUGUUCAUGAAGAUUUUGCAAGGCUUGGUCAUUUUCGUGCUCCGAAAAAUUUUCAGCUCCUAUAUCUAAGGGUGGUGAAGGUGAUCUACUAAUUAAUCUGCCACUAUUUGUACGAGACCAACAACACAUGCAAUGCUAAUGAUGUGUGCUAAACCAAUGAUACAUAAAACGCUAAAUGAAAAUUGUAGAACAUAAAAAUAAACUGGAAAUUAAAUAAGCAAAAAUAUGAAAUAAAAAUAAACAAACUGAAAAUAAAUAAAAUAAAUAAAUUAGGCAGUGAAACCAGCCAUAAACAAAUAAAUUAAAAGAAACAAUUUAGGUGGUAUUUUAAAACCAGCCAUAUAAUAAAACAUAAAAUUAAAUAAAUUAAUGUACAAAAAUAAAUAAACUGAAAUUAAAAUGAUAGGCAGUAAAACCGACCAUAUAAAUAAAUUAACAAACUGAAAUUAAAAUUCUAGGCGGUAGAACCGACCAUUUAAAAUAAAUGCGGAAAGUAAAUUGCAGAAAUUUAAAGAAAUAAAUUCGAUUUGGGGACUGAUUUGCAAGGUUUCUGGGCUAAAAUGAAGUUUCUCACAAAUUUUAUAGAUAAUGUUAAAGUUUAAAAAGAGGAGGGGCACUAACUAAAGUUUUAUAAAAAGAAAAUAAAAUAGAAUCACGGAAAGAUAGUAACAACAAAAAAAAUAUUUAAAUAAAAUAUAGUAACGAUAAACUAACAUGGCUUAAAAGCGUAUUACUCCCAAGUAUAAGAAUGUCUAGUUAUAAAAUAACCUGGUGAGUUUAGGGUUGAACCACAGGAAAUUUUAAAAUCUAGUUGUUAAUUUUUUAAACAAAGAAAACAAUUGUGGCGAAAAUAAAUUAUUUGAAAACAAUUUAAAAAUAUGUUAAGGUUACGGGAUCUACUCUCAGUAUUCAAACUAUAAUUUUAAUACUCUCUCAUUUAUAUUUUGCCUCACUUUUACUAGUUAAUUAUUAUAUCAUUUAAUUUUAUGUGUGUGGAUAAAUAUGGAAUAAAGUACUUAAUGUGCCACACUAUAUUAAUGUGUCGACAUUAUGUCAAAAUACCAUACAAAUUCAAAGAAAUUCAUAAAUUAACAUGACAUAAAAAUUACUAGAAAAUAAUAAAAUAAACCUAAAAACUCAUUUGAGAAAAUAAUAAAUUUAAUAGUUUGAAACAUUGAGCUUCACCCUUCACUUCAACUUAAUAAAAUUAGCCACUCAUAUUGAAAGAAAACACAACACUCUUUUUAUUUGAUAUACUUUUGAAAUAUGUUACAAAGAAAAUUGAUACAAACGGAAACAAGAAAAGAAAAGAAAUAAAGAAAGAAAGAAAUUCUUCAGCUACACUCUUGGCUAUCACUCUCUCUCAGAACUCGGCUCCGUCCCCAAUGGCUUGCAUCCCCUUGUAUUUUAUAGGCAAGGGAAGCAUAUUCUUUUAUUUUAUUUUAUU
rnacentral:lncRNA from 1 species